CAUCUGAUUCGAAGGAAGGGAUUUCCCUAUCGAGUCGGCUUUCCUCACCUCGGGCCGGGGAUUCUGGGAGUUGCAGUGUCAGCAACAGGAGGACACGUUUGGCAUCCUGGGCUAAGGAAGCCCAAGGACAAGGCAACCGUUUGUGUUUUGGACUUCAUUUCCCAUCAUCCAACUAACUUUGGGGGUCCCAAAAAGGACCUAUCUCCAUAAAGGCAGACCUUUGUGUUUCGGACUACACUUCCCAUCAUCCAGCUAACUCUAGGGAUUCUAGAGAGGACCUAUCCCAGUAAAGGCAGAACUUACUGUUUCGGACUACACUUCCCAUCAUCCAGCUAACUCUUGGGAUCCCAGAAAGGACUUCUCCCAAUCAAGGCAGACCUUAGUGUUUUGGACUGCACUUCCCAUCAUGCAGCUAACUCUGGGAAUCCCAGAAAGGACUUACGCAAUGAAGACAGAUCUUAGUGUUUUGGACUGCACUUCCCAUCAUCCAGCUAACUCUGGGAAUCCCAGAAAGGACUUAUCCCAAUCAAGGCAGACUUUUGUGUUUUGAAGAAUUCAUCCUAUCAUCCGGUUAACUCGGGGGAUCCCAGAAAGGACCUAUCCCAAUGAAUGCAUUUUGGACUGCACUUCCCAUCAUCCAGCUAACUGGAAAUGUCAGGAAGGACCUAUCUCAAUAAGGGCAGACCUCUGUGUUUUGAAUUACACUUCCCAUCAUCCAGCUAACUGGGAAUGCCAAGAAGGAUCUAUCUCAAUAAGGGCAGACCUCUGUGUUGCAGACUGCACUUCCCAUCAUCCAGUUAACUGGGAAUGCCAAGAAGGAUCUAUCUCAAUAAGGGCAGACCUCUGUGUUUUGAAUUACACUUCCCAUCAUCCAGCUAACUGGGAAUCCCAGAAAGGACCUGUCUCAAUAAGGGCAGACCUCUGUGUUUCGGACUGCACUUCCCAUCAUCCAACUAACUGGAUAUCCCAGAAAGGAAGGAAGGACUCUGUUUGGGUUUGGGACUGCACGUCCCAGCAUCCCGCUCACGCUGGGAAUCCAAAGAAAAGAGCUUCCCUGUCAAGGCAACUGUUUUGGGGUCUUUAGGUCUUUUCCAGCCUUGCUGUCUAGGAGAGUAUGUUGGGCUUGGGACUACAUCCCAGCAGCAGACCCCUGCUCGGGCCAGGGAGAGAAAUGAAAUGCCGAGCUCAAUAGGACAGGUGACCCAACUGGCUUUGAAACCGUCCAUGUGGGAAGGGGUCUAGGAGUCUGGAUGGACCACUAGCCGAACGUGAGCCAAGAGUGUGAUGCGGCAGCUCAAAAGGCCAAUGCGAUUCUAUGCUGCAUCCCAAUUAGAUGCCAGAGCUGUUUGGCAGGGCCAUGGAUCUACGGAGGUUUCAGAGUCUGGCUGGCCAUCUGUCGGGAGGGUUUUGAUGGUGCCUUCCUGCCUGGUUAGAAGGGGGCUGGGCUGGAUGGCCUUUGGGGGUCCCUUCCACUCUAGGAUUCUAUGAAGUCAUAGCUCGGUUUCGGACUACACAUCCCAGCAUCCCGCUGAUUCCGAUUAAUUAUACAACGAACAAUGACUUCUCUAUCAAGUCCGCCUUUGCCAUAAAUCCAGACUUAUGUCCAUGUUACGAAAACACGGUUUAUAUACAGUAUAUAUAUUUUUAUGUGUGUGUGUGUGUGUGAUCUCCGAAUGGUAAAAGUGUCGGGACUUCCUUGUUGGUGUCUUUCUUAACCCAAGGGUUGCAUCUACACUGGGGAGUUAAUGCGCUUUGAUACUACUUCAGCCUCCCUGGCACAAACCUACAAGUCCAGAAAUCACAUUGCCAUCAACCAAGUUAAUAUGGUUUCACAGAUUGGAAAAAAUGUGUUGGAAAUCCCAACUCCGGCCUGGAGGUGGCGCUGUGGCAAAACAGGAGCGCCUUUUCCCCCUGCGCCAUAGGCAUGGCGGUGAGGAGGCGUGGGCCAAGGCGCUUCUGGUGGGCGGGGCCUCAAAGAGACUGUGGGAUAAAUGGAACUUCCGGCUCUCCUUCCACAUGGCCUGCAACGCCCUCUACUGGCCAAUUACUGUUAUGACAAUAAAUAUAUCUUAUACUAACCAGGAGCAACCUAUUAUUAUUAAUAAUAAAUAAAUAUAUUUAUUAAUAUAUAUAUUUAUAUAUAUAAAGAAGAAAGAAAAGAAAAAGAAGAUAUAAUUAUUAUAUACAUAAAGACUAUAUGUAUAUAUCUUGUUAUAUAUAUAUACAUACACAGUAGAGUCUCACUUAUCUAAUAUAAAUGGGCCGGCAGAACGUUGGGUAAGUGAAACUGUUGGAUAAUAAGGAGGGAUUAAGGAAAAGCCUAUUAACACAUUAAUUUAUGAUUUUACAAAUUAAGGACCAAAAACAUCAUGUUUUACAACAAAUGGACAAAAAAAGCAGUUCAGUACUCGGUAACGUUAUGUACUGUAUGUAUAUAUAUAUACAUAUAAAACGUAUGAUAUAUAUAAUAUAUACUAAUAAUGUAUAAUUAUUUAUAUAUAUAUAUAUAUAUAUAUAUAUAUAGUAGAGUCUCACUUAUCCAAGCUAAACGGGCCGGCAGAAGCUUGGAUAAGCGAAUAUCUUGGAUAAUAAGGAGUGAUUAAGGAAACGCCUAUUAAACAUCAAAUUAGGUUAUGAUUUUACAAAUUAAGCACCAAAACUUCAUGUUAUACAACAAAUUUGACAGAAAAAGUAGUUCAUUAUGCAUUGCUAUGUAGUAAUUACUGUAUUUACGAAUUUACGAAUGUAGUAAUUACUGUAUUUACGAAUUUAACACCAAAAUAUCACAAUGCAUCGAAAACAUUAUACAUUAAUGCUACGUAGUAAUUACUGUAUUUACGAAUUUAGCACCAAAACAUUGCAGUGUAUUGAAAACAUUGACUACAAAAACAUUGGCUACUAACAAAUUGACUACAAAUAAAGAUAGAAUUACAUAAAAUGAACUUACAGUUAACAAUAUUGUCGGAAGUUAAAUCCAUAAAAUGUUCAGUCCUUGCUGCCUAGAGAAACAGCUAUGGAUCGAGGCGGGAGGCAGACUGUUGGAUGAUCCAGAAUGUUGCAUAAACAAAGAUUGGAUAACCAAGACUCUACUGUGUAUAUACAUACA
rnacentral:lncRNA from 1 species